rnacentral:lncRNA from 1 species
AGUUGCCUGAGAAGGCCUCCAGUCUGAGCCUACUACUGAAGAGAGCCCACUGUGGCUUUGCCAGCCUUCUGGACUCCGACAGUGCUUACCAUCUGUGUCUGUCCUUUGGCAACUAGCCAAACUCAACUCAGUUCAAUUCAACCAACUUCCAUAGAGCUGCACUGUUGGCAGGAAGCACUCACAGUCUCAAGGAAUGGGGAAAGCAUUUCCUAUCCAUGGCGCCUCAAUUGUACUUUUAAAACAAACUUGGCAUGGAAGAGAACCUUUCCCGAGACUCUUUGAAAGUCUAAAUACAUGAUUGUAAAUUACUUCCCUUUGUCAACACCCUUGAUUACCAUUUUGGAAAUGAGUUCCAGGUGAUGGAUAAACAGAUGAUUAUUUGACAGACAGCCCUGACAGCACGCUCCAGCCCUCUGGGAACUGAAUCCAACACGUCCAACACUUGGCACUGAACUGAAGCAAUG